rnacentral:rRNA from 1 species
AUUGAACGCUGGCGGCAUGCCUUACACAUGCAAGUCGAACGGCAGCAUGAUCUAGCUUGCUAGAUUGAUGGCGAGUGGCGCACGGGUGAGUAAUACAUCGGAACGUGCCCUGUAGUGGGGGAUAACUAGUCGAAAGAUUAGCUAAUACCGCAUACGACCUGAGGGUGAAAGUGGGGGACCGCAAGGCCUCAUGCUCUAGGAGCGGCCGAUGUCUGAUUAGCUAGUUGGUGGGGUAAAGGCUCACCAAGGCGACGAUCAGUAGCUGGUCUGAGAGGACGAUCAGCCACACUGGGACUGAGACACGGCCCAGACUCCUACGGGAGGCAGCAGUGGGGAAUUUUGGACAAUGGGCGAAAGCCUGAUCCAGCAAUGCCGCGUGUGUGAAGAAGGCCUUCGGGUUGUAAAGCACUUUUGUCCGGAAAGAAAUGGCUCUGGUUAAUACCUGGGGUCGAUGACGGUACCGGAAGAAUAAGGACCGGCUAACUACGUG